rnacentral:rRNA from 1 species
CGCACGGGUGCGUAACGCGUAUGCAAUCUACCUUUCACAGAGGGAUAGCCCAGAGAAAUUUGGAUUAAUACCUCAUAGUAUAACAUGACCGCAUGGUCGAGAUUAUUAAAGUUACAACGGUGAAAGAUGAGCAUGCGUCCCAUUAGCUAGUUGGUAAGGUAACGGCUUACCAAGGCAACGAUGGGUAGGGGUCCUGAGAGGGAGAUCCCCCACACUGGUACUGAGACACGGACCAGACUCCUACGGGAGGCAGCAGUGAGGAAUAUUGGACAAUGGGCGCAAGCCUGAUCCAGCCAUGCCGCGUGCAGGAUGACGGUCCUAUGGAUUGUAAACUGCUUUUAUACGAGAAGAAACACCUCUACGUGUAGGGACUUGACGGUAUCGUAAGAAUAAGGAUCGGCUAACUCCGUGCCAGCAGCCGCGGUAAUACGGAGGAUCCAAGCGUUAUCCGGAAUCAUUGGGUUUAAAGGGUCCGUAGGCGGUCAGAUAAGUCAGUGGUGAAAGCCCAUCGCUCAACGGUGGAACGGCCAUUGAUACUGUCUGACUUGAAUUAUUAGGAAGUAACUAGAAUAUGUAGUGUAGCGGUGAAAUGCUUAGAGAUUACAUGGAAUACCAAUUGCGAAGGCAGGUUACUACUAAUAUAUUGACGCUGAUGGACGAAAGCGUGGGUAGCGAACAGGAUUAGAUACCCUGGUAGUCCACGCCGUAAACGAUGGAUACUAGCUGUUGGGAGCAAUCUCAGUGGCUAAGCGAAAGUGAUAAGUANCCNCCUGGGGAGUACGUNCCCAAAAUGAACUCAAAGNAUUGACGGGGGCCCCCCAANCGGNGNANCUGGGGU